CAAGUACUCCCUCCGUCCGGAAUUACUUUUCAUCAAAAUGGAUGUGUCUAGAACUAAAAUACAUCUAGAUACAUCCAUUUCAAUGACAAGUAUUUUCGGACGGAGGGAGUACAAG
rfam:Triticum urartu cultivar G1812 contig741428, whole genome shotgun sequence.